rnacentral:lncRNA from 1 species
UUCGUGAAAAAGGAACGGAUUGUAGUUGCGACAUUAGAAACAUAUCCGAUAUCAUCUGUAAAACGGAUAUUCUAUAACGCUCAACCAACUUGUGAUGGCGUCCGUAAAUAUAAGAAGGUCUGAUUUUAACUUUACCAUUUGGAACUCUUGGUUUAAUAGCUUCCUUGUGAGCAGCAACCCUCUAUCAAGGAAACAAUGAUAAAAAUACAAGCCCGGGAAUAUCGUAUCAAUUGGGAAAUAUAUACUCCGUAUGCAGGCGCUGCAUGAAUGUUGCUACAUAGAAAUAGAAAGUUCACAAUUGGGAAGCUGAAAUCAUCUCUUUUGUCGUAAAGUUUUGUUUUCAACCUACCCUCAUUGUCAAUUUCUAGAUGUAAGUCAAGAUAUGUGGCAGAUUUAUCUGUAUCUGCUGUUCCUUUAUCUGUAGUUCGAUGGGAUAUAUGUAAAGUUAUGUAUGAUUGUCUUUGG